rnacentral:rRNA from 1 species
AUUGAACGCUGGCGGCAGGCCUAACACAUGCAAGUCGAGCGAGCGGCGGACGGGUGAGUAAUGUCUGGGAAACUGCCUGAUGGCGGGGGAUCACUACUGGAAACGGUAGCUAAUACCGCAUACCAUCAGAUGUGCCCCGAUGGGAUUAGCUAGUAGGUGGGGUAACGGCUCACCUAGGCGAAGAUCCCUAGCUGGUCUGAGAGGACAACCAGCCACACUGGAACGGAUACACGGUCCAGACUCCGACGGGUGGAAGCAGUGGGGAAUAUUGCACAAUGGGCGCAAGCCGGAUGCAGCCAUGGCGCGUGUAUGAAGAAGGCCUUCGGGUUGUAAAGUACUUUCAGCGGGGAGGCGUUACCCGCAGAAGAAGCACCGGCUAACUCCGUGCCAGCCGCCGCGGUAAUAC